UUUGGGAAAAGAUGCUAAGAUACUUAGAUUUCAAAGGCUUUAGCAAUGCUGAAUAUAUUUUUUUGCGCGUCAGUCUGGUCCAAAG